rnacentral:rRNA from 1 species
AGUGGCGCACGGGUGCGUAACGCGUGGGAAUCUACCCUAGGGUUCGGAAUAACAGUGAGAAAUUACUGCUAAUACCGGAUGAUGUCGCAAGACCAAAGAUUUAUCGCCCAAGGAUGAGCCCGCGUAGGAUUAGCUAGUUGGUGAGGUAAAAGCUCACCAAGGCGACGAUCCUUAGCUGGUCUGAGAGGAUGAUCAGCCACACUGGGACUGAGACACGGCCCAGACUCCUACGGGAGGCAGCAGUGGGGAAUAUUGGACAAUGGGCGAAAGCCUGAUCCAGCAAUGCCGCGUGAGUGAUGAAGGCCUUAGGGUUGUAAAGCUCUUUUACCCGGGAUGAUAAUGACAGUACCGGGAGAAUAAGCCCCGGCUAACUCCGUGCCAGCAGCCGCGGUAAUACGGAGGGGGCUAGCGUUAUUCGGAAUUACUGGGCGUAAAGCGUACGUAGGCGGCUUUGUAAGUUAGAGGUGAAAGCCUGGAGCUCAACUCCAGAACUGCCUUUAAGACUGCAUCGCUUGAAUCCAGGAGAGGUGAGUGGAAUUCCGAGUGUAGAGGUGAAAUUCGUAGAUAUUCGGAAGAACACCAGUGGCGAAGGCGGCUCACUGGACUGGUAU